GGGACUCCGCGGCUUUAUUUCACAAUCUAUGGAAAUGAGCUGGAGGGCCUCUUGCAGGGUUGGCUCCGCCCCCAAUUACCGGGCUGCGCUCUGCCUCCUUCACUGCCUGCGGACUGGCCUUGAAGGCUGGCUUCGAAGUUUACUCCAUCUGGGCAAAUUGCUUAGCCCUGUGUAAAAUGACCCAAUUGGUGACUUGUUAGGAAGCGACAUUUGUCCUACCUGGGGCCCUUUUGGGAAUGAGGUGAUUGUUGUGGCUUCAACCCCAGAAAGCUGUGCAUGCACUUAUAAGGAUUUACAGACCCUAAGUGAAGACAAUCCUUUUUCCCAAACAAAACUUCCCUGUACUGUUAGGUGCUGAGGAUAUUUUGCUCAUCAAUAAAAAUACAUCCCUGCCCCAGCC